AUGGGCAAACGCAGCAAAGCAUAAACAGUUGCAAAUGGGAGGAGGAAGGCUAGAGCUCGCUUUGCAUAUUUAGCCUUGCCUUGGAAUGAAUCGAAAGGGAAGUUGUUGGACCAUUGUUCGUAGGGCUGCUUCUUUCACGGACGUUUACAGAAGCUGCAGUUUACAGGGGCUUUUCUUCCUGUUGUUUGCUUAUGGAAAAUAAGUGGGAGUGACAAAAAGAAAAAGAAAAAAAGAGGGAAACAGAGGGAGGCACUGACCACAGUGCAGAACCAGUAACCUUGCCUUGUGUAUGAUCAUUAACCUUGCUGAAAAAGGCAGCUGGGAGCUCAUUUCGAAAGCUUGCCAUUAGAAUGUGAGCUGAGCCACAGAUACUGCAGACACAUUUCCGGGAGGGUGUCUGCAAAUUGGCUGCAAGUGUUACAAAUACUAUCGGAUCCGGUCUGCAAAAAUGAGAUUCCAGCAGCUCCUUUUGACCUGGUUUUUGCUCCUGGCUGGGGUGCUCCUGAUCGACGGACAGAGGCCAGGUAAGGAACCCUGUGAUCUGACUCCGUUUCCCCGUCUCAGCUGUCUUUUUGUACAUCUCUUAUCUCCAGCGUGUGUAUGGGGAUUUCUGGGGCAGCUACGUUUGAAGCUAGGCUUUCUUUUCCUUUUUUUAAAAAAAAAAGCUCUUCGCCUCCCUUAGUAUUAUUUUUGCAGCCGUAACUCUCUUUUAAAAAGAGAGAAUGGCUUCCUUAAGAGAUGCUGCGCCUACGACAUGCCACUUUGAGAUUUCAGUGCAAAGCCAUUUCUUUUCGUGCGCACGAGAAGAUGGCAAAUAAAGAAUUCAUGAUCACAUCAGCUCCUUCAGGGCUUGUGCAAGAUGUUACAUUUAAAUGCUACAUUUAACUAGCCUGGUAGGAAGAUUUUACCACAAUAAAGUCGUGAAAGAAGUGCAAACUGUAAAUGUAGAUGGGUUAAUUCAUCUCUAUGUGCUGUAACCCUAUGAGUAAACUGCAACAUCUGAAGAGGGCAGCUUGUGUUAUGCAGCUUAUGUCCCUGUGCAAAUAUUUGUGACUCCUCUCCUACGUGUGUGCAAUUAUUUCACUGUUUUCCAUUCCCUAUAAUACCUGGCUAAUAUCUGCCUGGACUGCUGCUUUAUUGAUUCCUAUGAUGAUUUAUUAGUUAUUUGACUACCUUUAUCAGGCAAGGGGAGGUCAGACUUUGCUUCUUCUUUUUUAUAACCUCCUGCCUCGUUUGACACCCUCCCAGAUUCCUACAGCUUUCAACAAUUUUUAACAGAGCAUUGACAGAGAGAUGGGUGAAAUCACAUCAUCUCAUAUACUGAUUCUCCAGAGGAAUAAGAUAUUUGCAUAAUUGCCCUCCCCGCCACUCCCCACUUUUCAGAGGGCAGAUUCACUUUUCUAAGUAAAGCUGACAGCUCCCAGACCAUACACUCUGCGGUAGUCUCCUUUGCUUGACUGAUACAACUCUCUGGAGCAAUUAGCUUGGAGUAGACGGAAGCCUUAGGCAAAAAGAGCAUUGCUUGAGUACUAGCUGGCGGGAAUGUACAUUCCCAGUCCUCUCUGGUGGAAAAAGCCAAAAUGAAACAAGAAUGGAACUGAGGGCAUACAACAAGUAGCCAGAGUUGUGAUCCACCUUUUGGUGCACAGAUGAAGAGGCAGACUUCAUCUAUGGUGAAUUCAGAAAAUAUUCCCUAAGGGAGUGAGUUGCCCUGAAGUCACCUGAGUUUUCCAUCCUGCAAAGCAGUUCUCUUAACUGAGCAGCAGGCAGAAAGGGAUCUACUUAGUAUGCUUUCCCAGAUCAUUUUGCAUAUACCUGGGUUUGCAUAAACAGGUGGAGGCCUACAAUAAGAAUAAGGAAGAUGCGCUCACAUUCAGAGCAGUUGUCUAUCCACCUUACCAUUCCCAGAGGCUUUGAGAAGACUAUUGCAUUUAUUAGUUUGACUUUAAGGAACACAGAAGAACAUUUUAGCUUCCCGACUCUCUUGAAAGAUAGCGGCUUGCUGAGGCCACCCACUGAGCAUCAGAACUGAGCUUUGAGCAUUUCCCACACCCAAAACUAGGCUUUUAGUCAUUACACUGGUCUGGGAACAUUAUUCCCCCACCUUUCCAGCACUGAAAGGCUCAAAGGCACAUCAGUAGUGUUGCUUAGUACUUAUACAGCACUUUCCUCUGAAGUGUUCAAACAUGCUUUGCAUGCCAACCCUGUAAGGUAGGCCACUAUUACAGCCACAGGGGGAGAGAGUUGAUUCAGCCACCACCUCUUCUUGCCUUUCCUGUCCGAUGGCCAAUGACUUAACUUUUUGUCUGUCUCCGCGAUGAAUGUGUGUCUAAGGUGAGACUAGAACAAGCUCACAGCUCAGGAUAUAACCACAAUGUACUACAUCAGCUCUUUGGCUGAUUAGGAUGGUGCUACUCUGAAUAUUUCCCCCACCACUGGUGUUUUAUUGCAGUCGUUUUCUGCAACGUGUUCUCAACUCAAUAAUGAGUGUUUAUUCUGCUUGAGUUUGUUCUGCAGUGCUUCCACAGGGCUGCCACAUUACUGCUGUCAACAAAAGUAGAAUAAAAAUAAACCAGGAUGCUAUAACAAGUUGUAGGAGUUCAGUAGGAAGUUACGGGAUAGGUGCUGAUUAGAAAUGAAGUGGUAUGAAGGUGGAAUCACAUAUAACUGCCUCAGGAGCAUUGUGAGCACACAUGGCCAUGAAUGUGCAAUAAAUGAGAUGUCUGUAGGGACCCUAAACAUGCUCUCUUUUAUAAACUGCUUUGAGGGUUUCUUUUUUUUUACAAUCAAUCCAUUUGUAAAUUUUAUGAAAUAAAAAAAAAAUUUACAUCGGCAAUGAAAGUGGCAUGCCUUUUUCAGAGAACUCCAUAAGUACUAUUAGCCCCUGUUUUGUUCUGGGUGCAAAAGUGUUUUGUUUCUUAUUUGGAAAAGGAUAUUUAUCAGGUCUCCUCUGCCAUUAUUUAUUCUAUUUACCAAAUCCCCAUUUUCUAUAUAAAAUGGCUCUCCAGGUGGCUUACAAAUUUGAAAGAAAAAAAAACCAAUUAAACCCUGAAUGGAUAUUAAGAGUUCUUACACACAACACUUUUGUUCCAUGCAUUAAAAUCAAAGAACACAACUCAGCCAAGUAUAAACGCUUCUUAAAAUUCCAUUAAUUUCCAGGAAACAUGCAGGACAAUCCAUGCUGACUCAGAAGCCAGCCCCACUGUGAUCAUUAGGCCUUACUCCCUAGAACGUUUUGCUUAGGAUGGCAAUUUAACUUAAGCCCUGCUAAACUACUCACAAUUUCCUAUUUUGUGCCCAGGUGUAGAUUUCAUGAUAUUCAGUACAUGAACAAAUGUGCAAAAUCCACAUAGGUUUAGAUGUGAUGCUUUAGUUGAGAUUCAUGCAUUUCAGGGGGUGGACUGGAUGACUCUUGGGUCCCUUCCAACCCUACAAUUGUAUGAUUCUAUGAACUCAGAUGUGACUUACUUCUGAAUAGACAUGUAUAGGACAUGUGCCAUAAGAGUACAGUGGUACCCUGGGUUAAGAACUUAAUUCGUUCUGGAGGUCCUUUCUUAACCUGAAACUGUUCUUAACCUGAAGCAUCACUUUAGCUAACGGGGCCUCCUGUGGCCGCGUGAUUUCUGUUCUCAUCCUGAAGCAAAGUUCUUAACCCAAGGUACUAUUUCUGGGUUAGCGGAGUCUGUAACCUGAAGCAUAUGUAACUCGAGGUACCACUGUACUUAGGUUUGGCUGAACCACAGACAGCUGAAGGUCCUGCAGUUUACAAUGGUCUGAGACUUCUGAAAAAUUGAGCAAAUUCUGGGGUGGGAUGGGAUGGGAUGGGAAGCCGAGUGCUUCUGGAAGAAGACAGACUUGCUACAUUGGAAUAUUAUAUUUUGGGAUCCCACAAGUGCAGGGAAUAACAUCUUGCAGAAAGCAGACACGCUUUAUGCCACUUCAGAACAGCAACCGUUAUUGUCUACCUGGCGUUCAUUUUGACAUCUUGCUCUUUUCAUGUUCUCUCUCUCCUGUCUUCCAGCGAAUGUGGCCUCCAGGCGAAAACUCCACAGACAUCACUGCUCCCACAGGAGAUGCAUGCCCCUUCAUUCCAGAGUGCCCUUUCCCUGAGGUAUCCCAAAAAUUCUACGGUGCUUGGGCUAAUUUUAGGCAAAGGGUCAUUCAUAAGGGUUUGGUAAUAAAACCAGGCGCCAGUAGGAUGUGACUGUUGAAGGCUGCCCCUCCAGCAUUGUUCUGGGGACAGUGUAGGGGAAUGCCAAAUGUGUUCACCAGAAAAUAUGCCCGUUUGCAAACUUAUGCAUUCAUUUCCAAAUGGUUUCGGGGGCAUUUUGCUAACCUCAGACCGCAAACAAUUUCCUUUGGCCUCCGUUCUUUGUGAUUUUAUUUGCUCUGAAAAUAGAGCAACAGGGAGGGAGUGGUGGGGGUGGGAAUGAACUCAAGGAGGGGGGGGGGGAGGAACAGCACAAUAAAAGUUCUUGUUUUAUGUGAACUCCGGGGCACGGUUCCAAAUGAGUGAGUAGUACUGGGCUCUCUGUCAAUUAUUUCACUCUCUGAAGCUGCACAGAGAAUGGGACCCAUUUGAUGCCCUGCUGUCUUUUUGCAGUUUUCCACCCCCUUCCUCCCAAUCUUGCACAUGAAAGUGAUAAUAAUUCAUUAUUAUAAAACCUGAAAGAUAGAAUCCCUAGGCCAGAACCAUCCAACAAGUCUAUCUCACUUAAGAAUAAGGUGGACACAAUAUAAACAUUGGAUCUACCUGGAGUAUGUGGAAUCCAGGGGGUAGCAUUGGUCAUAGUGUAGACACUGGGUAGGCAACCUAAGGCCCGGGGGCUGGAUCCAGCCCAGUCACCUUCUAAAUCUGGCCCACGGACGGUCUGGGAAUCAGCAUGUUUUUACAUGAGUAGAAAGUGUGCUUUUAUUUAAAAUGCAUUUCUGGGUACUUUGUGGGGCAUAGGAAUUUGUUAAUCUCCUCCCUCCAAAAAAAAAUUAUAGUCCGGCCCCCCACAAGGUCUGAAAAAGUUUGCUGACCCCUGGUGUAGACCUACUGAAAUCAGUGGAUUUAAAGUAAGUUAUAAUUAACUUAAACCUUUUGAUUGCAGUGGGGCUAAUCUGAGUAUGACCUAGUCGAAUACCACCCAGAGGUGUCUGGUGUUAUUCAGUGUUAUUAGGAGAAGAUUCCUUCCACCCUCUCUGAGUCAACCUAUGGCAGGAUUCAUGUGAAAUUGUGUCAAGGAUCUGAUCUUCAUGUGGGAAGACUCUCACUAGAUUUUGUAAUGCCCUUCUUCUAUUAUUUUCACAGCAGCAUGAUACACAGCCAUGUGGCAGGGAAUGCUUUCCUGGCAUUUAUUUUAUUUGUUGACUUUGUAAAGCUUCUAUACUGCUUGAUUGUAGAAAAGCCUCAAAGCGGUCUACAUAAAACAUUAAAAUUAUCAAUAAGAAAUUAUAAGAAAUUGACACGGAGAUGCUUUUCCUCAGCACAUUAACUUGGUGGAUUUGUUCAUGCCAGAUUGUUCUUAAAGAAACAGGAUAUAUUUUUUAAAAAACCCAAAGGCAGCCAUUACCAUUUAGCUCUGUAACAGCCAACUUUGCUGAAUGGACACUCUAUAAACCAGGCAUGGGGAAUCUGUGGGCCUCCAGUUGUUGUUGAAAACCAGCUCCUAUCAGCCCCAGCCAGUAUGGCCAAUGGUCAAGGAUAAUGGCAAUUAUAACUCAGCAACAUCUUCAGGGCCACAGGUUCCACACUUCUGAAUGUACACACUGAACAUUUAAAGCACAUGACUUCCCCUAAAGAAUUUCAGGAGCUGGUUUCUUAAGGGUGCUCGGAAUUCUAGCUCCGUGAGGGGGAAACUGCAGUUCCCAGGAUUCCUGGGGAGGGGAAUAAUGUGCUUUAAAUUACGGUGUGCAUGCAGCUUUCAAUUCCACGUGGAUUUCACCACUGGUAGAGCUGUAACCACAGGCCUUUGUAGGUUUUUUUUUAAGGGUUUUAUCCAGGGUGAUGGCAAAUUUCAGUCCAUUAAUUGAAUGAGGAGGACUAGUGUUGGGAACAGUCCACCAUUUGGAACUGCUCCCUAUUUAAUUAAAAAGGUAUCACCUAGAUUGAUCUUGUUAAGCGGGAAGAACUCAAAGGUCCUUUGAUGUGAGGUCCCAAGGAGCAGCUGUGUUAUUCUAGCACAGCAGAAAGACAAAGCACGAGGGGGCAUCGACUAACAAGCCUGUCAUAGCAGGGGCUCAUGUGCCAUCCUAUUCAAAAGAGUCGGGAGCAGGCUGUUGCAUUGUGAACCUGAGAGCUCUUUGAUUUUAAGAUUGCAUUCCGCGGUAUAAAGCUGAAGUAGCACUUUUGAACCCAAGCGGGGCUUCAGCAGGUUAGAGAAUAGGAGGUGCAAAGAAUCAAUGCUCUCUAGUCUAGAGGGCACCAUAUAAAUGCAGAUGCUUCCGCCGCUCCAGAAGCACACAGGUAGGACAUGUAAAUAUGUCACAGCAAGGAUCAAAAGGAUGCCCAAGCUGCCUUUUAGAGAAGCGCACUAUUUGCAGAUGAAUAAAACAUGCACUUGAUAGCUUUGCAUCUGGCAGCGCCUCUUGUUAUAUACAUCAGGAUAAUGGCAUAGCCUUAGGUAGUUUGGCUGUAAUAAAUAAAAAAUGACACAGGCUAUAAGCCCCAAAAUCAAUUCUCUCAAAAUGUCAGCUUCUUGGAACUAGCAAGACUAAUCAGGAGUGAGUGUCGUUAAGGGACAGCAACUGGCCCUUCAAGGACACUUUACAUUUUGCUAAGCAGUUCAGCCGAAGUCAGAAUUGCAUUUCUGACAGUGCCGUAAGUUUUGUGAAACCUAUCUGCAUGAAAGCUGGGAAGAAAAUGAAAUCCAUCCAAAACAUUUUCAGCGCUAUUCUUCUUUGUCUGUUAUAUAUAUAUAUAUAUAUCGCAUCAUCAGUGCUGCCCUGGACUUCUUGGGAGGAGCAAUAGGAUAUAAAAAUAAAAAAUACAUAAUGCACAUGCCAUUUUACAGCAUAGAAGAGUACAAGUCGCUGUCUCAGGGGCUAACAAGAAGUCUGUGGUGCAAAAGCCCUGAUGAAUUGGACCAAAAGCCUAUCUUGUCUGGUGUGCUGUUCCCACAGUGACCCACCAGAUGCUGAUGGGAAGCUCAGAAGCAGAUCAUGAGCACAAUAGCACAGUCCCAGCUCAUGUUCCCCAGCAACUGGUAUUCAGAUGCUAGAGGUAAUAUAUAGCCACCACGACUAGUAGCUAUUGAUAGCCUCAUCCUCCAUGAAUUUGUCUAACUUCCUUUCAAAGCCAUCCAGGUUAGCGACCAUCACUGCAUCUCUUGGUUGCGAAUCCCAAGGUUUAACUGUGAGCAGAGAAGCACUUGCUUUUGUUUGCCUUGAAUCUACCAUUCGCCAUCAGAGAGCCAGGAGAGGAAGGGUGAGAGGAGGAGAGGCAGGAGUAAACAGGGAAAGAAUGUGGGUUAUUUCAGUUAUACACACUUAGGCUUAGUCACAAAGGAAGCCGGUGAAGGAAUUUGAUAAGUGAUUCUAAAGCAAUGGGCAUUCAUUCGGCCCCAAACAGCCUGCACUGAGAUACAACCAAGAAACCCACCAGAAAACAGUUGAUGUUUGCAAGAAGCCUCAGUCAACAAAACAAAAAACAAAAAAAAAAGGUUUCUUCCUUGAAAGUAACACCUUGGCUUAUAUGUGAUGCUGGAAGUACCAAAUGUAUUUAAAAGCUUUGUCUCCAUCAUGUUAAGUUUUUCCAAGAUCUCAGCCAGCUACAUCACUGGGUUUUUUUUUUAAAGAAAUGUGCCUUUUUAGAAUGAUAAAAAGGGGGCAAGAUCCACCUGUGUGUCAAUUACAGCAGGUGGCAGAUUAAGCGAGAGCCAAAGUGACCACAUCCACUCACUCAGCACUUUGGAGUUUAGGGGCACUGUGGAAAUCAGAAUUAGGAGGAGGCAGACUCCUCGAGUCACUAGCUUCAGAAGUGUUUCCGAGUAUGGAAUCAAUCGUCUCCUUCCCCCACUUCCAGUGUUCCAUGACUGUGUGCAGAGACAAUCUCUAAUGCGCCUUGAAGCAUAAUGCAUGCAAGUUAAUAGUACAGAGUCUGGGUGAUAAACAUGCACUUAGGUGGAUUUCCCAUCCCUCCUUACAGAAUAUCUGUUUGCAAGACUAAAAGCUAUUUUGUAGCUAGUUCCGUUUGGGGAAACUGCUCUGCCCUAACAACAGAGCAGAAACAGAUGCUCUUUAACCAUGACCUGGUCUAGAGAUAUUCUGAACAACUGAAAUGUGCAUUUUGGAGUGCCAGGGAAGGGGUGGGGACAGAGUUCAAGAUUUCAAACUGGUCUGCAAAAGUCGCAUGGUGCAUCCCCUACAACUACCGUAUUUUUCACUCCAUUGGACGCACCGGACCAUAGGACGCACCGGAUCAUAGGAGGGGGAGAACAGGGGAAAAAAAAAUUUUCUUGUUCUCCCCCUCUAAAACAAGGUGCGUUCAAGGUACAUUCACCAGAGCUUGUGGGGCUGGCAGUGGGGGGAAGCGCUGCUUUCCCCCACCGCCAGCCUCAAAGAUCCCUGAAGCCUUUGGAGCGCAGCGCCCCGCUGCCCUGCAGAGGUUUGCGCGCAGCCGUCCCCAAGCUAGAGCAGCGAGACGGAGCCCUCCGUCUCGCUGUUCUGGCUUAGGAACAGCCUUGCUAGCUUCUGCAGGACAGCGGGGUGAAGGCACCCCGCUGCCCUGCAGAGGUUUGCGCGCAGCCGUCCCCAAGCUAGAGCAGCGAGACGGAGCGCUCCGCAGUGCUCCGUCUUCCUGUUCUGGCUUUGGGCUUAGCGGCGCAGCCUGCAUUCGCUCUAUAGGACGCACACACAUUUCCCCUUAAUUUUUGGAGGGGGAAAUGUGCGUCCUAUAGAACGAAAAAUACGGUAUAUGGGUCAUGCUCUUUGUUGUACAUUUGUCUGCAUGGAAUCCACACAUUUUCAAGCUGAACACUCCCAGGAUUGUUAAAGAUUCUUACAAAAUUAAGCACUGGUUGAGUCUAAGCUUUGCCUGUGGUUCUGAACUGGUCAAGUACUGAUUAAUCCACUAGAGCAGGGAUGCUAUUGACCCUCCAGAUCAGGGUUGGCUAUCAGGGGACUCCAACUCCCAUUACCCCAGUCAGCCAUUGCCCAAUGAUAAGGAGGCUCUGAAGGGCUCAGUGUUAGCUCUUCCUGCUCCAGAUAUUGUUGGACUACCACUCCCAUCACCCCUAAGCAGUGCCCAUGCUGGCUGGGGAUGAUGGGAUAUGGAGUCCAAUGUCAUCUAGUUCUCCAUGUCAGCCGUAAGAGUAACUCACGGUUGAGCUUAUCUUUGCUGUUUCCCAGGCAGUAGCACCUUCAGAUGAAAUGCAGCUAGGCCUACCAGAAAAGCCUUCCCCUUUAUAUUUCCUACUGGCUGAGGGUUGCUCGCAUGUAUUCAUCACACAUUAUAUCAGUUCCAAUGACAGCCCAUGAGGCUCAGAGGCCAUACUUUCAGCUAACUGAAUGGCAAUAAGUAAAAUGGCCAUUCUUACAAAAUUGCAAGUCUUGGCAAAAAGAGUUGUGUGUCAAUGAAAGAUUUACUGACAUUUUGAAUAUUCCUUUUUAAAAAAACAAAAACUAGCCCAAUCUUAAGAAAUGCAUCAUGGGCACAAAUGUUUUAACUGUUAAUGGGGAGGAAAAUAAUCAGCUCUCAAAUGCAUUCAGUCAUUGCACUGGCCUGAUUUUGAGAUUAAGAUUAUAAAAAGAGAAUGUUCCUCCUGCUAGAAUUUUUACUGCAGAUUAUGUAUAUAUCAAACUUUUGAAUUAUUCUACCGCGACUGGUGAAGAAGAUUUAGACACUUUGGUUGCAGUUUCUGAUCAUUUGUAUUAGUCUAUAAAUAGUGUUUAGUGCCAUUGUUAUUGGCCAUCGUGUUGUGUUACUUUGUUCAGACUUUUUCCUGCAGCAGCAGAUUCAUAAUGUGUUUCGAAAUCCUGGCCUGCUCUCAGAGACUGAGGAUGAAUUCCCACAGACAUACAGAGGCAUAAAAGAUCAUAGCCGUGCCAUGGCACUCAGAUGGAAGGAAGCUCCGUUGAAUUUAACAGAGAACAGAAAUGCUAUUAAUAAUACUUACACUGUGUCAGCAGCAAGCAUGACAUCUCACAGAGUUAUAUAGACAAGUCAAAUCCCUGCUAGCAAGGAGUUUACCAAGUAGGAAGGCUGCUUAAGGAUUGCCCCAAAAUAGGAAAGUGUCACAAAAGGAGAGAAAGUGAGGACGAAAGAAUCAACAGGUUUUCAUAAAAUGUGUGCAUACUAAUUUAUUUGCAUACAAAUUUAGAAGCAAUUGCUGUCAUUUAAAUUGUAAUACAAUGCAGUUCACUAUAGUGGCCUAUGUGCCUGCUCUGUUUUCUGGCGCUAUUGAUGGAUCAUUUCCAGGCCCCUCCUGCUCUCCCUUCUUGAAGUCCUAACCUUUAAGCUAGACUUAGACCAGGCAGCCCAUCACAUAGAGGGCCGUCCUCUUUAAAGCUGGAUGUGUGCCCCAGUUCCAGGGGCAGGAGUAUCAUGGAAACUCCAGACUCCUUAGAGAUUGUACCUUUUCAUAUUUUUAUACAAGGGCUCUCAUUACAUAAUGGACCCAAAAUGGCUAUGAUCUAGAAUGGUGUUAUGGUACAAGGACACUGGAAUGAACUACUUAAAUUUCCCGAAUUGGAAGAUUCACCCAUGUUUUCUGUCUCCCGUAAACCCUUAAGAUUGCAAAUUGGGAUCCACUCUCACAUAUGUUAAGGAGGAAUCAUCACACUAGGCUUGCCAUUUGGACCUGCCUUGAGAAAGAGCAAAGAGGCAGAAAAUGAUUUAUUUGGGUAGCCAGAUGAAAUGGGAGGACAGGCCGCCUGCACCUUUAACGGGGAAUUUCAGGAAAUUCUCUGAAAUUAUUCUACACAAUUAUUAAAGGUGUAGGACAUGCACACUGAAAAUUUCAAACUGGUUUCUAUUUGUUUGGAGUUGGUUUUUAAAGUGGGUGCCGGGCCUUUUAGCAUAGCCUCUUAUUUGUAACGUGGACUAUAUGGGGGACUAUUUAGCUGAUCAUAUUAGAAAAAGUGGUAUUUCCUAGGGAUACAACAUUGUCAGUUACAGACACGAAUUUCCACCUGUUUCACAAGCAAAGUCUUUUGGAAAUGCAGCAAUUGGUAUGUUUGCUCAAGUAUUACCCUUCCAAGGGUCUCAAGUGAGCACAGUCAGACUUUUAGGCUCCUCUAAGCAUCUAUGGGUAGCAACCACUGUUUGAAUAAUGUACCUAUUUAACUGGUUUUUAAACCGGUCAGGGGAUGGGGCAAAUGCAUCCUGUUUACCUGAACCAAAUCAACUUGUGCAAGCAAACCUACAGCUAUUGCACUUAAACCUCAAAAUUUCCACUGAAAACAACUCUCAUAAUGGCUACAAUUCUCUGUAGUUGCAUAGAUCUCUUCAAAGCAGCAAAUGAUACACAAUGCAGGGCUAUACGGAAGAGAGCAGCUUAAGAACAGAAAAUGUCCUUUCCUUGGAUAAUAAUAUUUUAAUGUUCAUACCUUAUAACUCUCUGCAAUCACAGAACAGAUGUAAAGUUUAUUAUGACUGGGGUACAAAUUCCUUGGCACCAGAAAGUCAGCUGCUGCUGCUGCUGGCUUUGAGAGAAGUUCAACUGUUCUCAAAAAUCUGUUCUUCCCCCUACCUCUUUUAAAAGUUGAGGACUAUAUGUGUACAAGUGGGGUUCGAACAGGAGUUGUCAAGGUGUCAACCAACCAGGAGUACCCAACUCCAUUCAACCCCUACCCAUCUCCUGUCAAUUUCUUCACAACUGACUCUAAACCAGGGGUCAGCAAGGUUUAUCUUGUCUGGGCCAGAUCAGUCCCGUGGAUAUCCCUCUGGGCCGGAUCACCUGCGCGCACGAUUUUUUGCACCUGCACCUGUGCAGGCGCAAUUUUUGGCACCGCAGAAGUGAGUCCCCGCACUGCGCCAGUUUAGCGCAGCACAUGAGUGGACAGUUCAGUUCAGGGGCAGAUCGUGGGCCAGUCAAAUGACCUCCGCGGGCCACUUCCAGCCCAUGGGCCUUAGGUUGCUGACCCCUGCUCUAAACAUUCAAAUGCCUUCUAAGCAUCCCUGAUCCUCAUUGAGAUGGGUUUUGGUGGGGUGUUAGUGCCAUAUUUUUCUAAUAAGAAGAAUUGUACUUUGGCAAUGCUUUUUUCCUGAGCCUGCCGAUAGCUACCUCUUUUUUGUGGUCCUGGUUGGCAAUGUAAUCAUCACCCCCUGAUCACCUGAGUUUGCUAUUAGCUUGUUUGGAAGUUCUAGCAAGGGAGUGCAGCUACUGUAUCUAGGAUGAUCGUCCUCUUCCACUGAGUGUGCGGCUUUGUGGGGGGGACACACAGGGAGCAGAAGGAGGCACCCACCUAGCUAGCCAGAUCAGUCGAAUCAAACCUGGAAUGACAUGUAGCAACCAGAUCACCCUUGCAUCACAUUUUUAAAAACUUGUGCCAAUAAAGGCUAGUAGAAACUAUUAGGAGCAGGGUUUAAAAAAUGUUGACCACCUUAAUUCAAUUAUUUUAAAAUAUUGUCUGGUUUACUCUUCCCCCAAAUGUAGCUUCCACCAACUGACUGGCGAAAGGAAUUGAGAUGUGUAAAUGACAAAAUUUGAUAGCGGCACUGUUGUAAUCUAUAUAGGUGUCCCAUAAACCAUCACCUGGAAACAUUCAAAAAUCAUCUUACCAGAGGCCUGCUGAAACAAGCUUCACAGGAGUUUUGGGUUUCUCUAAGCAGGAAUAAAAGCAAUGAAGAACUUAGGGAUCCUCUUCUAGACUUUGGAGAAUCAUCAGUGCAAUAUGAUCACCAUUCUUCUCUACUCAUCAACACCAGUAACCAGAAAGCGAACUUCACAAUAUUAGAAGAGUUGUGUGUCAUUAAAAAAAAAAAAAACCCAAACUAUUGGUAUAUUAAUAGUGUUUAUUCACGUGUCUGUAUAUCUUUUAACACCCAGCUAACAAUAUGCAAGAAAGAAGCCAUUGUUUCAUAAACAUCAUGAUUCGUUGGAAUAGUUAUAAAAAUGCAUAUUGGAUGUUUGAAGCUAGGGUUAUUCUAUCACCUUUCCCAGUCUUUCAAGACUAGUAUAUCUGUUGACAUUACUAGGUGAAUACUUCAAGUGGAAAAUUCCUUAAAUAAUGAUCAGCCUUAACUGGAAAGUCUUACAAGCAUGACUGAAUCUUCCACUCACACCAGUGGAAAAUAUGCCAAAGCUAUGCUGGAUGCUAGAUUAGUAGAACCGGGGUCAAAAAGAUCAACCUAGUCUUCCUUAAAAGUAUUACUGGUUGUAUUUGUACUAAUUUUAACCUGUUUACAACUUACUUUGGGAUUCAAUUAUUUCCUUAAAGCAUGUUUGUAACUGUAUAUGUUGUAAAAUGGUACUUCAAAUAGCAUUCUCAUAUUAAUCUUUGUACAAUUUUGUUAAAAAUUUUGUAUUCUGUACAUGGAAAUUGCCCAUAUCCAAAGACAAGUGAAAUAUUUGCCUAAUUUGUAAAUUUCAUAAGGGAUCAAUGUAAACUUUAAUAAUUGAUGUAGCUAAAUAAAAUAUAGCUUAAAUCAUGCUAUU